rnacentral:tRNA from 2 species
UGGGGCGUCGCCAAGCGGUAAGGCAGCGGAUUUUGAUUCCGCCAUUCGGAGGUUCGAUCCCUCCCGCCCCAGCCA